GAUGAACGCCGGCGGCGUGCCUAAUACCUUCAAGUCGAGCGAACGGACGAGAAGCUUGCUUCUCAGCUGUUAGCGGCGGACGGGUGAGUAACACGUGGAUACCCUACCUAUAAGACUGGGAUAACUUCGGGAAACCGGAGCUAAUACCGGAUAAUAUUUUGAACCGCCUGGUUCAAAAGUGAAAGCCGGUCUUGCUGUCACUUAUAGAUGGAUCCGCGCUGCAUUAGCUAGUUGGUAAGGUAACGGCUUACCAAGGCAACGAUGCAUAGCCGACCGGAGAGGGUGAUCGGCCACACUGGAACUGAGACACGGUCCAGACUCCUACGGGAGGCAGCAGUAGGGAAUCUUCCGCAAUGGGCGAAAGCCUGACGGAGCAACGCCGCGUGAGUGAUGAAGGUCUUCGGAUCGUAAAACUCUGUUAUUAGGGAAGAACAUAUGUGUAAGUAACUGUGCACAUCUUGACGGUACCUAAUCAGAAAGCCACGGCUAACUACGUG
rnacentral:rRNA from 1 species